AACGAACGCUGGCGGCAUGCCUAACACAUGCAAGUCGAACGAGACCUUCGGGUCUAGUGGCGCACGGGUGCGUAACGCGUGGGAACCUGCCCUUAGGUUCGGAAUAACUCCCCGAAAGGGGUGCUAAUACCGGAUAAUGUCUUCGGACCAAAGAUUUAUCGCCUUUGGAUGGGCCCGCGUUGGAUUAGCUAGUUGGUAGGGUAAAAGCCUACCAAGGCGACGAUCCAUAGCUGGUCUGAGAGGAUGAUCAGCCACACUGGGACUGAGACACGGCCCAGACUCCUACGGGAGGCAGCAGUGGGGAAUAUUGGACAAUGGGCGAAAGCCUGAUCCAGCAAUGCCGCGUGAGUGAUGAAGGCCUUAGGGUUGUAAAGCUCUUUUACCCGGGAUGAUAAUGACAGUACCGGGAGGAUAAGCUCCGGCUAACUCCGUG
rnacentral:rRNA from 1 species